rnacentral:rRNA from 1 species
CAAUCAAACCGGGAGAUAGCUGGUUCUCCCCGAAAGCUAUUUAGGUAGCGCCUCGUGAAUUCAUCUCCGGGGGUAGAGCACUGUUUCGGCUAGGGGGCCAUCCCGGCUUACCAACCCGAUGCAAACUGCGAAUACCGGAGAAUGUUAUCACGGGAGACACACGGCGGGUGCUAACGUCCGUCGUGAAGAGGGAAACAACCCAGACCGCCAGCUAAGGUCCCAAAGUCAUGGUUAAGUGGGAAACGAUGUGGGAAGGCCCAGACAGCCAGGAUGUUGGCUUAGAAGCAGCCAUCAUUUAAAGAAAGCGUAAUAGCUCACUGGUCGAGUCGGCCUGCGCGGAAGAUGUAACGGGGCUAAACCAUGCACCGAAGCUGCGGCAGCGACGCUGAUGCGUUGUUGGGUAGGGGAGCGUUCUGUAAGCCUGUGAAGGUGGCCUGUGAGGGUUGCUGGAGGUAUCAGAAGUGCGAAUGCUGACAUAAGUAACGAUAAAGCGGGUGAAAAGCCCGCUCGCCGGAAGACCAAGGGUUCCUGUCCAACGUUAAUCGGGGCAGGGUGAGUCGACCCCUAAGGCGAGGCCGAAAGGCGUAGUCGAUGGGAAACGGGUUAAUAUUCCCGUACUUGGUGUUACUGCGAAGGGGGGACGGAGAAGGCUAUGUUGGCCGGGCGACGGUUGUCCCGGUUUAAGCGUGUAGGUGUGUGUUCCAGGUAAAUCCGGUUCACUUUAACACUGAGGCGUGAUGACGAGGCACUACGGUGCUGAAGCAACAAAUGCCCUGCUUCCAGGAAAAGCCUCUAAGCAUCAGGUAACAUCAAAUCGUACCCCAAACCGACACAGGUGGUCAGGUAGAGAAUACCAAGGCGCUUGAGAGAACUCGGGUGAAGGAACUAGGCAAAAUGGUGCCGUAACUUCGGGAGAAGGCACGCUGACAUGUAGGUGAAGUGAUUUACUCA